rnacentral:lncRNA from 1 species
UCGGCUGUCUAGUGUGCAGAUUGAUGAGCUAACUGCGAGAUUUGAUCAUAUCACCGACAUAUAGCAACAGCACACAGAUAGGUUCAACAGGUUUAAGCAAAAGGUUCGAGCGCAGUUUCAGCAUUUUAAUGCUACAUAGAGGCAGAUUCUGGAUCUCCUAAAUAGGCAGUUGGCCCAGGGAGACAGGAUAGAGGCAGCCUUCCAUAAGAAUAGGACAAACGAUUUUGACUUCGCUGAUUUUGAUGAAUUCUUCCCAACUCUAGCUGGCGAUAAUGCACCCCCUCCAGCAGCACCAUCUUAGCCACCACCACCCAACAAGAUGAGUAGGGCAGUAUCUCUUUUUCUUUUUGAGUACUUAAUACGUUGCUUUCCAACUCUUUUAUACACUUUGGACAGUGUGUCCUUCAAGUGUAGGGUGGGUAAGUCGUUAUGGCUUUUCUUUUUCUUAUAUUUCUUGAUUGUGUUUAUUGUAUUGUUGAUGAUGUAAAUAUUUAGGAUACUUAGGAUGUUUAUUAGUUUUUGUUUAUCUUUGAAAGAUUGAUAGUUAUGAUUUUUCCUCCUUGUUAUUUGUUGCUUUUGGAAUAUUAUUGACCAAUUUUUAGUUUAUCAUUAUGGUUGGGAUAAACCAAUGUUACUUGACCAUUCUUUAAGUUGGUAAUUUAAAUUUGAUUAGUUGUUGUGUUUUGUCUAUGAAUUGAUUAAAUGAUGAUUUGAUUGAUGGUAUUUGGACACCUUUUGCAAAUGUACACACUUAAAUUGUAAGUUUUUGAACCUAAUUGAGCAUUCAUCGUAAAUGCUCCUUCCUUCUUGUUUGAGUGUGCAUUGUAUUCUUCUUAUUUCUAGAACUUGCUCGGUAAUGCUUGUUGAGGUUACAUAAACAAUCAAAUGUUAUAAAAUGAUAAGGGCACUUAGGAUUUACCAUUGCAACCAAAAGCCAACCUGUAGAUAUUUUUCAUUAGUUAGCCAAGUUUGAGCCUACCUACUUUCUUCAUUUUUACCAUUUUGAUUUAUCAUCAUACUUUGUUAAGCCUUUCAUUUGUUGAUCCCUACCCUAUUUC